ACUCAAUAGAUACCCUGGUAGUCCCAGCUGUAAACGAUGCAGACUCGGUGAUGAGUUGGCUUUAUGCCAAACUCAGUGCCGCAGGGAAGCCGUUAAGUUUGCCGCCUGGGGAGUACGGUCGCAAGACUGAAACUUAAAGGAAUUGGCGGGGAGCACCACAAGGGGUGAAAGCCUGCGGUUCAAUUGGAGUCAACGCCGGAAAUCUUACCGGGGGCGGACAGCAGAAUGAAGGUCAAGCUGAAGACUUUACCAGACAAGCUGAGAGGAGGUGCAUGGCCGUCGCCAGCUCGUGCCGUGAGGUGUCCUGUUAAGUCAGGUAACGAGCGAGACCCCUGCCUCUAGUUGCUACCAUUAUUCUCAGGAGUAGUGGAGCUAAUUAGAGGGACUGCCGUCGCUGAGACGGAGGAAGGAGGGGGCUACGGCAGGUCAGUAUGCCCCGAAACCCUCGGGCCACACGCGGGCUGCAAUGGUAAGGACAAUGAGUUUCGAUUCCGAAAGGAGGAGGCAAUCUCU
rnacentral:rRNA from 1 species